UACGUAGGGGGCAAGCGUUGUCCGGAAUUAUUGGGCGUAAAGCGCGCGCAGGCGGCCUCUUAAGUCUGAUGUGAAAGCCCACGGCUCAACCGGGGAGGGUCAUUGGAAACUGGGAGACUUGAGUGUAGGAGAGGAAAGUGGAAUUCCACGUGUAGCGGUGAAAUGCGUAGAGAUGUGGAGGAACACCAGUGGCGAAGGCGACUUUCUGGCCUAUAACUGACGCUGAGGCGCGAAAGCAUGGGGAGCAAACUCG
rnacentral:misc_RNA from 1 species